UUUGUAACAGCUCAAGCCCACUGCUAGCAAAUAUUUUGUCCGCUUUGGUCCGUUACAUAUCAUCGUCAGCCUCACGGUUUUAAAACGCAUCUACUAGGGAGAGGUUUCCACACCCUUA